AUAUGGCAUUUGGGCCCUCUUUGGCAGCAACGACUGCCUUUCUGUUCACACGCAUUUCGUUUUGAGAAUGCCAAUGGACACACCAACUGCUUCUUUGGAUUUCACCAGUUGGCAGUGGUUGAUCAGCUAUUUGGAAUGCAGCCGAUUUGAGUGAAGAAAUAUCCAUAUUUGUAGCCCUGUUACAAUAGUGAAAGCUACAACCACAAAAAAAAGAUGCAACACCAUUUUGAAUUUGAACACCAGACCAACGUGAAUAGUGAGAUAAUCGUCAUCUUUACGACAAAAGAGGGAUUGAGCAAACAGUUUGUAUGUUGGAUGAUGUAUUUGCAAUUACUUUGCUAGAUACUGCCAAUAAGAAAGUGUUCUUGGGCAGAGAUACCUAGGGAGUCGGGUUUUGUUUAAAGCCGUAACAGAAGAUGGAUUUUGGUUGUGUCUUCAGAAGCUGAAGUUCUUGUUCCAUUGGAGCACUCCACGACUCCCCUUUUAAAAGUGGAGCCUUUUGUUCUGGGACACUAUGAAGUUUUGGAUUUAAAGGCAAAUGGCAAAGUUGCAUCUGUGGAAAUGGUUAAAUAUCAUCACUGUAGGUACAACCUCUGCAUGCCUUCUGUAACAAUGUGGAGAAGCUCUUCUCAGGUUUAGAGACAGAAACUUUGAAGAGCAAGCUUUGGUUCCUUUUUAACAAUGAUAUUAAGAAGAAUUUAAUGAGACAGAAGGAUAGGCUCCAUUUUAUUAGGGGCUUGGACUCUGGCUUGGUUGCUGCCACCCAGGUGAAGCAGCUGAAAGAGACGCAGUGCAAAAUACACUCCCCAGACAUUUGUGACUGGCAUGGAGGGCAGCCCUGAUUUAUUGGUUGCUGGACGAGUGGCAGAUCGUAUUGGAAGUGAACAUCAUGAAACCCUCUUGAACUCUGAGGAAGGCACUCAGGCUCUGGAUGAAGUCAUAUUUUCCUUGGAAACUUAGGACAUUACAACAGUUUGCACUUCAGUAGGUGAGUAUUUAAUUUCCGAGUAGAUUUGGAAGAACACAGAUAGCAUGGUGAUCUUCUCUGGACAGAGAUCAGAUGAACUUAUGCAGGGUUAUGUAUAUUUUCAUGAGGCCGAGGAGAGAGAGGCCUCUGAAGGAGCUCUAUUUGUUUGGUGUUCUCAGCGCAGAUCGAACUGCCCACGCUGCCCACAGCCUUGAACUGAGAGUCUGGUUUCUGCAUCAUCGAUUUUCUUCCUGUUACAUGUCUCUGCCACCAGAAAUGAGAACUCCAAAGAUGAGGUGGAGAAACAGCUCCUGAAAGAGACAUUUGAGGACUCCAGUCUGAGACCCUGAAGAGAUUCUCUGGGGAACAAAAGAAGCCUUCAGGGAUGGAAUAAGAAUGCCUGGUUUAAGGUGUUACAGGAAUAUGUUGAACAUCAGGUUGAAGACGCAAUGACAGCAAAUGUGGGCCAGAAAUUUCCCUUCAAUAUCCUAAAGCCAAAGAAGUCUGUUCAUGCCCUUGAGGCUUGAAUGCCACUACCCAGGCAGGGUGCAGUGGCUGACCCAGUACCGCAUGCCCACAUGGAUCGAUGCCCGCUCACUGACCCACUGCAAGUCAGCUACCUAAGCCUAGGUGCUCUCUGAGCCAAAGAGC
rnacentral:lncRNA from 10 species